rnacentral:rRNA from 1 species
GACGAACGCUGGCGGCGUGCUUAACACAUGCAAGUCGAGCGGAAAGGCCCUUCGGGGUACUCGAGCGGCGAACGGGUGAGUAACACGUGAGUAACCUGCCCUUGGCUCUGGGAUAGCUCCGGGAAACCGGAAUUAAUACCGGAUAUGACCUCGGCCGACAUCGGCUGUGGUGGAAAGAUUUAUCGGCCAGGGAUGGGCUCGCGGCCUAUCAGCUAGUUGGUGGGG